GAUGAAGAACGCAGCGAAAUGCGAUAAGUAAUGUGAAUUGCAGAAUUCAGUGAAUCAUCGAAUCUUUGAACGCACAUUGCGCCCCCUGGUAUUCCGGGGGGCAUGCCUGUUCGAGCGUCAUUUCACCACUCAAGCCUCGCUUGGUAUUGGGCAACGCGGUCCGCCGCGUGCCUCAAAUCGACCGGCUGGGUCUUCUGUCCCCUAAGCGUUGUGGAAACUAUUCGCUAAAGGGUGUUCGGGAGGCUACGCCGUAAAACAACCCCAUUUCUAAGGUUGACCUCGGAUCAGGUAGGGAUACCCGCUGAACUUAAGCAUAUCAUAGCGGAGGA
rnacentral:misc_RNA from 1 species